GCACAUAACGCUGGGGUGCUA
rnacentral:siRNA from 1 species